rnacentral:rRNA from 1 species
CAAGGAAUUUUCGGCAAUGGGCGCAAGCCUGACCGAGCAACGCCGCGUGGAGGAUGACGGCUCUUGGGUUGUAAACUCCUUUUGGGGGGGACGAUAAUGACGGUACCCUCCGAAUCAGGCCCGGCUAACUACGUGCCAGCAGCCGCGGUAAUACGUAGGGGCCAAGCGUUGUCCGGAAUUACUGGGCGUAAAGCGUGGGUAGGUGGUCGAUGAUGUGCCGCGUGAAAGCGCCGGAGUAAUGCCGGCGAGGUCGCGGUAGACACGUUGACUAGAGGCUCGCAGAGGAACGUGGAAUUCCCGGUGUAGUGGUGAAAUGCGUAGAUAUCGGGAGGAACACCAGUGGCGCAAGCGGCGUUCUGGGCGAGACCUGACACUGAGCCACGACGGCGUGGGGAGCAAA